rnacentral:tRNA from 1 species
UAAAGAGCUUUGUUAAACUUAGACUUAAGUUUAGGUCAUUUUGGGGGUUUAGCUCAGUUGGCUAGAGCAUCGGCUUUGCAAGCCGAGGGUCAAGGGUUCGAGUCCCUUAACCUCCAUUGGGCUUAUGUCCUAAAUCGUAAUUAAGUAUGUUUUUAAGUAACUUUGUUAAAGUAAUUGUUGGAACGUGAAACAGAGGAAGUUAAAAUUUCUGGGUUAAGUUGAGAUCUGUUGAUAUUAAGAAGAAUCUCUAGAAGCAAAAGCAAGCUUUCGAUAAAACCCGAAGUUGUUUCGCUAAAGUGCAAGGAUUAAACAGGAUUGUAUUUUCCAGUAGCCUAUUUUAUAAAUGAUCUGCAUUUAGUAAAUAGUUUUUAGUUAAGAAAUAAUGUAGAUUGCUAAGUGUGAUGCCUGAAAGAAGGACAAGUAUUGUAGCGAGCCUAAAUCCUUGUUGUCGUUGCCAGUAUUUAGUGGUAGGGAUUCGGAUAAGACUGCCAUUUAUAAGUUGGAGGAAGGCAAAGAUUGCAUUAAAUCGUUAUCGCUCUUAUGUUUUAGGUUACAAGUUUGCCACAAUAACCCAAAAAAGCUAAGCAAAAUGCUAUAAAGCAGAUUUCAGUUUGGAUUUGCCCGA